CGGGGUGUGGCGCAGCUUGGUAGCGCGCCUGCUUUGGGAGCAGGAGGUCGGAGGUUCGAAUCCUCUCGCCCCGACCA
rnacentral:tRNA from 1 species